rnacentral:hammerhead_ribozyme from 1 species
GUCCAGCUGACGAGUCCCAAAAUAGGACGAAACGCGCAUCCUGGAU